GCUUACCCUGACUGCCCUGUGAGAUCGUUAAUUUAGAGCACAUCAGUGUGACAGUACAUUUCUUUUGAAAUGCAACUCAAAAUCCACUUCCUCCAGGAGGAAUGCCAAGUGGCGUCCCGGAACAGGACAAGUUGUACUUCACAGGAGAUGGGAAGCUAGAGGGUGGAAACGCCAUCAUUAAUCCACCAAGCGGCAGGGGGUGGGGGCGCUUGCUUCCAAUAGGCAUGGCUGGAAAAAUCAGCAGCUCCGGGUUGUGCUCCUGCCUGUGUCCCUGCCAUGACUGUGAAGGGCUAAGAACACAGCAGAAAAGGGAGCCAGCUGCCAUGUCAUGCAGACACUCAAGCAGCCCUAUGGAGAAGCCACAAGGUGAGGGGCUGAGGCCUCUUUCCCACAGCCAUGUGAGUGGGCCAUUCCGGAAGCAGAUCCUCCAGCCCCAGCCAAGCUGACAGACGACUGCAGCCCCAGCCAACAUCUAACCUGGAGCCUCUUGAGAGACCAACCCAGAGACCCCACCCAGCUAAGCCACUCCAGAAUCCCUGACCCCAAACAUUGUGACAUGAUAAAAAUGUGUUGUUUAAGCUA